rnacentral:rRNA from 1 species
ACUCCUACGGGAGGCAGCAGUGGGGAAUAUUGCACAAUGGGCGCAAGCCUGAUGCAGCCAUGCCGCGUGUAUGAAGAAGGCCUUCGGGUUGUAAAGUACUUUCAGCAGUGAGGAAGGCGGAGUCGUUAAUAGCGGCCUCGUUUGACGUUAGCUGCAGAAGAAGCACCGGCUAACUCCGUGCCAGCAGCCGCGGUAAUACGGAGGGUGCGAGCGUUAAUCGGAAUUACUGGGCGUAAAGCGCAUGCAGGUGGUUUGUUAAGUCAGAUGUGAAAGCCCGGGGCUCAACCUCGGAAUUGCAUUUGAAACUGGCAGACUAGAGUACUGUAGAGGGGGGUAGAAUUUCAGGUGUAGCGGUGAAAUGCGUAGAGAUCUGAAGGAAUACCGGUGGCGAAGGCGGCCCCCUGGACAGAUACUGACACUCAGAUGCGAAAGCUGGGGAGCAAACAGGAUUAGAUACCCUGGUAGCACAGAG